AUUGAACGCUGGCGGCAUGCCUUACACAUGCAAGUCGAACGGUAACAGGUCUUCGGAUGCUGACGAGUGGCGAACGGGUGAGUAAUACAUCGGAACGUGCCCGAUCGUGGGGGAUAACGAAGCGAAAGCUUUGCUAAUACCGCAUAAGUUCUACGGAUGAAAGCAGGGGACCGCAAGGCCUUGCGCGAACGGAGCGGCCGAUGGCAGAUUAGGUAGGUGGUGGGAUAAAAGCUUACCAAGCCGACGAUCUGUAGCUGGUCUGAGAGGACGACCAGCCACACUGGGACUGAGACACGGCCCAGACUCCUACGGGAGGCAGCAGUGGGGAAUUGUGGACAAUGGGCGAAAGCCUGAUCCAGCCAUGCCGCGUGCAGGAUGAAGGCCUUCGGGUUGUAAACUGCUUUUGUACGGAACGAAAAGACUCUUUCUAAUAAAGAGGGUCCAUGACGGUACCGUAAGAAUAAGCACCGGCUAACUACGUGCCAGCCGCCGCAGUAA
rnacentral:rRNA from 1 species